ensembl:lncRNA
GCAUGUGGGCUUGGGCAGCUCUUCCCAUGAGACUGGCAGAAGCUGAAGACUGCUCCAAGGUCUUGUGACAGAUGUCCAGCUAGUUCUAGGUAGGUUUGUGCAGUAGCAGAUGGUAUGGGCUGGCAUUCAGACCGUCCCCUGUGUCCCUCCGUGAGCUACUACGUCCUUGGGUGUCUUUUUCAUCUUCAGACUGCAGACACAUGUGGAUACCUGCCCCCAUGUUUGUGGUUAGGCAGGGUCUAAACAGAACUUCUUUGUUAUGUUUAAUACCAAACUGUUAGACACUCAGGUGCUGUUGGCAGAGGUGUGCUGAAUGCAGGAACAAGAUGGUUUCCACCUGAGUGCCUGCCUGAAAUUUGCUGAAGGUUAUGUGGCUGUUUUCCUGCACCUGAGACAGUAAUUUACUUUUUCCCUGAGUAUGAUCUCACCAUGCAGUCAGAACUCAUAAUGCCUGCAUGCUGUUUUACAGUGCUAUAAUGAGAUAGUGAUGCUGAAGACAUGCAUUUCUUUUGUCAUUAUGAACCCUAUGCAUAAUAUCACCUAUAGAAAUAUUUUUCCAAUUAUAUGAACCUUGCUAACACAUUGUGAUUUUAAUGCUGCUUUCACGAUACAGAGGAGAAAAUUAAACAACAAAAGACAACUCCCACUGAGAAGUCAGAGCAUGAAGCAGUCAGACCUGAAAAAGACGUUCCCCUUACAAAACCUGAGCCAACAGCUGAAAUCCCAACAUCAGCCACAAAAAAACCAAAGACAACUAAGGAAAAAGAAGAAAAACCAACUGAGAAGAAACAGCUGAAAGAUGAAAAAACUAAAGUAAAAGAAGAUCCACGACAUCAAAACUUGACAUCAGCUCCUGUCCGCUACUUUCAAUGUGUCUUCCUAAAUGGACCUAAUGGAUUUGGCCUGCAAUUUCCUAUUAAUCCCCCUUCAAACAAGGAAGAAAAGACUCACUCAAAGACUUCCAAGAGAAAGACAAGGAAACCGGGGCAGUAGAGAGACUGAGUCCAAUGAUCACUGACAUUUUGCACUUUAUCUUUUCUGCUGAGGUCCACAGUAGCUACAGUGGUACUUGUCAUUGCAAGAAUGUGAUCCGCUUGCACACAUGUACCUGGAAAAGGUUUCCAUGGGGCAAUGGCAGAACAAGCAGUAAUGAACUGUGCUUAACAAAGGUAGAAAUGUAACAGUGCCCAGUUUCUCAUGGAAAGGCUGCAAUGCUAACAAAGCAUUGAUGUGACUGUGUGUGUGAGCAUGUGCGUGUGUUUCCAUGCCUCUUUUGCUCUUGUUUUACUUUACCUACAUGCUCAGCAUUGAAGUGAGUCUGUUUUCCAUUUAAUCUUAUCUAAGGAGUGAAAGGUUGAAUGUAGCUCUUAUAUCAGCAAGAUUGCAAGACUAGCUGCAAUCCUAAACCAUUUCUUCUUAACGUUCAAUCAAAUUUCUGACAGGAAAAUGCCUCACUAAGUCAUGAAAAUGUGCUCUGUGACUGGUGCUAUUUUUAUGUCUCAUUGACCAGUGUAGCCUGAAGCUCACACUUACUUGGAGCAGCUCAAUACACUAUCAGUAAGUUGACUCCACAAGUCAUGCUAAUGAUGAAUUUUCUAUUUAGUCUGAAACUGUAAAAGCAUGGACUGUUUGCCCUGCCUGUUGGUAAAAUACAAGUUCUUCUCUUCCUAAGGCCCAAAGUGAGAAGAGAAAGUGAAACCACAUGUCAAAGGCUAGGAAAAUCACUGUUUUACCAACAUGAAGGUCUGAAGAAACAAAUGAAAUAAUUAUAGUGCUUCCACUUUUCUUCUGCAGCUAAAUCAGAUUGUUUUGCAGCAAAAACCAUGUAAAUGGAUAACAUACCACCCAACAAUUUGCUAUUAGCUUAAGCCAGAUGAAAAGCUAGGAUGUGAGAUGCCAUUCACAAAACUAAAGCAACUCAAAUUUCCAGUAAUUAUGUGAAUUUAAUGCUAUCUCAGAUCAGUGAACAACAGCAAAAAACAAAACCCCAACAAAGAAAGAAUCAGAAGAAAAUGAAACAUAAACACAUGAAAUAACCCAGGUAUCUCAUUUUACUAGAUGAAAUGAAUGGACUUCCUCACAGCACAAUACUGUAAAUGGCUUACAGUAGAACUGAAAGUAGAUGUGCUUGUCCUCAACCUUCUUUUGUGCAUUUAUGUAGAAAUAAAGGAUCUGUUGCCCUAAAAAAGAGACA